CGGGGGUAGGGUCGGAGGGCUCGCCCUCCUCCCCCCGUAAGGGGCCCGAAACGGGCGAAAACGCGGGGACCAGUAACCUUACACUGGACGGGACGUUGGCGGACUAUCCGUACCGCGUCAAACUCCGAUGAACCCCGCCCCGCGGGGUCCGCGGUGGCGGAGCCCCCAUCGGAGGAUGGGGGUAAACCGCCUUAACCGGGGGAACCAGGUCAGGCCCGGAAGGGAGCAGCCUAACCCCGGCCGCGGACGUUCGCGGGAGCUUAUGGGGCUGAAGGAGAAGCGCGGUACGGAUAGUCCUUAAUAACACCAACGUCCCGUCCAGUGUAAGGAGCCCCG
rnacentral:SRP_RNA from 1 species